GACGAACGCUGGCGGCGUGCUUAACACAUGCAAGUCGAACGGAAAGGCCCUGCUUUUGUGGGGUGCUCGAGUGGCGAACGGGUGAGUAACACGUGAGUAACCUGCCCUUGACUUUGGGAUAACUUCAGGAAACUGGGGCUAAUACCGGAUAGGAGCUCCUGCUGCAUGGUGGGGGUUGGAAAGUUUCGGCGGUUGGGGAUGGACUCGCGGCUUAUCAGCUUGUUGGUGGGGUAGUGGCUUACCAAGGCUUUGACGGGUAGCCGGCCUGAGAGGGUGGCCGGCCACAUUGGGACUGAGAUACGGACCAGACUCCUACGGGAGGCAGCAGUGGGGAAUAUUGCACAAUGGGCGGAAGCCUGAUGCAGCAACGCCGCGUGCGGGAUGACGGCCUUCGGGUUGUAAACCGCUUUCGCCUGUGACGAAGCGUGAGUGACGGUAAUGGGUAAAGAAGCACCGGCUAACUACGUG
rnacentral:rRNA from 1 species